AAAAGCGAAAUUAAAACUUCAAAGUUCCAUUCUUCAUAUGUAUUCAUGCUUUCACAUUUUCAGCUUACAAUAUCGACAAGGUUACAGUCAUGUACCUGGUAUUGAAUACAAGAGAAGAGGAAGAUGAGAAUCAGCAACAGUAGUAACAAUACAGCACAACAACAACAAUCUAGCAACAGUAAUAGCCCAGGAACAGAGUUUGCAAACCGGUGGAGCAGUAACCCAAAAACCAACCAGACUUAGGAAAACCAAGCAAAGACCCGAAAACCUCAAUAACUUCCACAGACAAGACAGAAUGAACCCAAAAAGACAGAAGAGGCUCUGGGAUAAUUCUGAGUUUUGUUCUUUUAAGAUUCGAAGUCGAACACUCUCAAGAUUAAAAGUCUGUUUUUAUCUCUUUUUUGGUUCUGAAAUUUCUAUCUCCAAAUUCAGUCCCUUUCUUCCUUUUUUUUUCAAGUGUCCAAGUCUCCUCCAUUUAUUACCAACUUUCAGCAUUUUUAAAAUUAAAAACCCACUAUCUUCCACUCAUCCCCAUUUUAAUCCCACUACCUAAUGUUUUGACCCCCACUACAUUAAACAAAUACAUUAUCCCCCCCCCCCCAUUAUAUCUUGUCCUCCAUGCCUACAUUAAACAAUUAUAUUAUUCCCCCACUACAUUAUGUCUUGUCCCCCACCAUGUACUAUUUUAAUAUUAUUAAAAUAUUAUUUAAUCUUAAUGGACAGAGCACUCAAAAUAAUUAAUUGUUCAGAUUUUCAAUUCCAAAAAUACCCCUCCGACCUUACUGAAAUUACCAUUUUACCCCUAAAAAUACUGCAAUUUACCAAUCUACCCCCAUCAGCUAUAACCAAUUCACCUAAUCAAUUCCAACCAAAAUACAGCAAAUAUAACCAAUUCCUAAACAAAUUUUAUGAACAAACUCAAACUAAAUGAUGAACAACAAAGAAAUAACUGGAAUUAUUUUAACUGAACAAUAUUUUUAAACAACAAAUCCACUUUCAGAUUUCAACAGCAAUUACAAACAAGUAUAUCCAAAUCAUUGAGCAUCAAAUUCAAAUUAAACUUAAACAAAACAAAUAAACAGAUUCAAAUCACUAAAUUAAAUAACCAAUUGAACCUCAAACUAAAUCUAACAAUUUUACAAACAAAGUAAAGGAUUCAAUUGACUAAUACAUCUCUAUAUUAAAACUAAACAAGAACAAAUGAAUAAAAACAAACUGAAGAAAUAAUCAAAGUGAAAAUAACGAACAAGAAAAGAAUCAAACUUAUACUAAUUUCGGAUCUGAAAAUAUCAAACAAAAUACGGACAAAAAAUGAAACUUAAACCAACUAACCGGAAAUAAACAACGACGAGCUCGAACGGAAACGGACAACUCGAACAAACAACCUCGACAUACCGGAUCUCGACGAACAACGAAAACCCACCUUCCUUUUAACCUUGACGAAC
rnacentral:lncRNA from 1 species